CCCAGAGUCCGCCCGAGCAGGGCAGAGGCCGAGCCUCGGAUGCGGGUCUCCGCUGCGGCGGGUGGGCUCUCGGCCAGCCGCUCCCCAUUUGUUGUGCAGCGAGGCCGGGGGCGCCUCCGCCGAGACCUGCGUUCCGAGCCUCACGGAAGAGAGGUGAACUCGCCGCGGUGGAACAGCUAACACCGAGACCCUGGGGUCCUAGCAGAGGCCCUCCGGUGGCCCGUGCCACCCCGGGCGGGCGAGCUCAACGGAGCAGGGCUUGGCAGGGGCAGAGGCGGGGAUGAGCUGGGCCUCUGCGCCCCCGCGGCCCACAGCUGCCUCCCUGUCUGAAUUCCAAUGCCCACUGAGCUCCCCGGGCUUCGGGGUGCCCUGUCUCGAGCCCCGCUUGCUGCCCCAGGCGGAGAAGGCACUCUCUUCCCUGCUCUGUUUCUCGCUGAAGGCAGCCUCUGCUGUUUCCGGCCGCAGCUGGAGCUGUUUACCAUCUUCCAACUCUCACGAAGAAAGGAAAAACUAUCACUUAGAGCCAUUGAAAACUCAGCAUCGUACGUGGAUUUCUUCACGUAAAUAAAUCACACGAAGCGAGACUCGUGUUCUCCGAGUGACGUCAUCCGCUGAAGGCCGCCUCCCCCGUCAGAUCAGCGUUGGGUGCUUUCCUCCUCGUGCGGGCGCCCUUUCCGCAAGACCUGGGUCAGCCCGGCACGACCGGGUCCAGAGGGCGAAAACAGUUCCAACUUCACAGACUGCUCGGAAGCUUUGCUUUGGAACCAUAGGUUCUGAGGUUGAAAGGCCGUGAACGCGUCCAGAAGAAACGUGUGCAGCGCCCAGCGGGAGGUGAAGGCCCUUUGGGUCCUUCCGGAGCCGACGGUGACGCUGGCUGCGGCGUCAUCCCCUUGAAAUGAACGAGGAACCGGAAAAUCACCGGGAAGGCGUCCAGGAGAUGUGGCGCAUUUGGCCACGAGAAGGGACAAAGUCCUGACACGUGCCACAACGCGUGUGACCUCGGAAACAUUAUUCUCGGUGAAAGAAACUAGUCACGAGGCCACGUGUCGUCUGGGUCCAUUUACAAGAAGUGUCUAGGACAGGAAAGUCCGCAGAGACAGAAGGUGGGGGGGUGGCUGACAGGGGCUGGGGGAGGAGUGGGGGGGGGUGACUGUUGACGGACGUGGGUCUCCUUCUGCUGGGUGAGGACCGUGUUCUGGAACCAGCUGGCUGUACUCAAUGCUAUCACACCGUUCCCUGUAAGACGGUAAAUGUUACGCUGUGUGGACUGGAUCUCAAUACAUCCGUUAUUUUGCAAAGUCA